AUACGUAGGGGGCGAGCGUUGUCCGGAAUGAUUGGGCGUAAAGGGCGCGUAGGCGGCCUGGUAAGUCUGGAGUGAAAGUCCUGUUUUUAAGAUGGGAAUUGCUUUGGAUACUGUCGGGCUUGAGUGCAGGAGCGGUAAGUGGAAUUCCCAGUGUAGCGGUGAAAUGCGUAGAGAUUGGGAGGAACACCAGUGGCGAAGGCGACUUACUGGACUGUAACUGACGCUGAGGCGCGAAAGUGUGGGGAGCAAACAGGAUUAGAUACCCUGGUAGUCCACACUGUAAACGAUGAAUGCUAGGUGUAGGGGGUAUCGACCCCUUCUGUGCCGCAGUCAACACAAUAAGCAUUCCGCCUCGGGAGUACGGCCGCAAGGUUGAAACUCAAAUGAAUUGGCGGGG
rnacentral:rRNA from 1 species